CGCAUCUGUGCAUGCAGCAUAUCAAUAAGCGGAGGAAAAGAAACUAACAAGGAUUCCUCUAGUAACGGCGAGUGAAGCGGGAAGAGCUCAAAUUUGAAAUCUUAAAGGGUUUCCCUUUACGAAUUGUAGUUUAAAGAAGUGUUUUCUGUUGAGGUUUUGGUAAAAGUUCUUUGGAAUAGGACAUCAUAGAGGGUGAGAAUCCCGUAUUUGACCUUUACUUUCAACUUUGUGAUACACUUUCAAAGAGUCGGAUUGUUUGGGAAUGCAGUCCAAAAUGGGUGGUAAAUUUCAUCUAAAGCUAAAUAUUGGCGAGAGACCGAUAGCGAACAAGUACCGUGAGGGAAAGAUGAAAAGAACUUUGAAAAGAGAGUUAAACAGUACGUGAAAUUGUCAAAAGGGAAGCGUUUGACACCAGUGUUGUUUUUCUGAAAAUCAAUUAAAGAACUGUUUAUGCUAAGCUGUUUAGACUUUAUCAGCUAAUCUGUUUAGUUUUGAGCCUUUUCUUUAAUGCACUUUUCAGUUAACAAGUCAACAUCAAUUUCUUUGCUGUAAAGAAGCUUGAGGAAGGUGGCUUGAGAUUCGUCUUAAGUGUUUAUAGCCUCUUGCCUAUGCAGUCGGAGAGAUUGAGGUCUGCAGCGUAGAUCCUUCGGGGCUAAAUGCAUUUGUGCUAAGUUAUAGCAUUUUAUAGACAACUUGUUGACUAUGAUUUGUCUUGUAGCUUACUCGCUUAUGUUAUUUUACCUACGCUUAGGAUGUUGAAUCUGUGCGAGACUAC
rnacentral:rRNA from 1 species